rnacentral:rRNA from 2 species
GCAUGUGCGCGAGUCAUUGGGACUCUGUUAAACCUAAAGGCGCAAUGAAAGUAAAGGUCCGCCUCGCGCGGACCGAGGGAGGAUGGGCCCCCGUUUCCGGACGGACCCCGCACUCCCGGGGCGUCUCGUUCUCAUCGCGAGAAGAGGCGCACCCAGAGCGUACACGCUGGGACCCGAAAGAUGGUGAACUAUGCCUGGUCAGGACGAAGUCAGGGGAAACCCUGAUGGAGGUCCGUAGCGAUUCUGACGUGCAAAUCGAUCGUCGGAACUGGGUAUAGGGGCGAAAGACUAAUCGAA